GGGGGGAUGCAAGCGUUAUUCGGGAAUUAUUGGGCGUAAAGCGUCUGUAGGUGGUAAGGAAAGUGUAAUGUUAAAGAUCAGGGGCUCAACCCUGGGGAAAGCAUUGCAAACUAUCUUACUUGAGUUCGGUAGGGGCAGAGAGAAUUCCCAGUGUAGCGGUGAAAUGCGUAGAUAUUGGGAGGAAGACCGGUGGCGAAGGCGUUCUGCUGGGCCGUAACUGACACUCAGAGACGAAAGCUAAGGUAGCAAAUAGGAUUAGAUACCCUAGUAGUCUUAGCUGUAAACGAUGCACACUAUGUUUUGCAAUUUGCAGAGCAAUAGCUAACGCGUUAAGUGUGCCGCCUGGGGAGUACAUUCGCAAAGGAUGA
rnacentral:rRNA from 1 species